rnacentral:rRNA from 1 species
CAACGGUGAAACUCAAAGGAAUUGACGGGGGCCCGCACAAGCGGAGGAACAUGUGGUUUAAUUCGAUGAUACGCGAGGAACCUUACCCGGGCUCAAAUUGCAGGAAGGGCUUCUGAAAGGAAGCCCGUCUACGGACCUGCAACGAGGUGCUGCAUGGUUGUCGUCAGCUCGUGCCGUGAGGUGUCGGCUUAAGUGCCAUAACGAGCGCAACCCCUACCGCCAGUUGCCAACAGGCAAAGCUGGGGACUCUGGCGGGACUGCCGGCGCAAGCUGCGAGGAAGGCGGGGAUGACGUCAAAUCAGCACGGCCCUUACGUCCGGGGCGACACACGUGUUACAAUGGCAGGUACAGCGGGAAGCCACCUGGCGACAGGGAGCGGAACCCGAAAGCCUGUCUCAGUUCGGAUUGGAGUCUGCAACCCGACUCCAUGAAGCUGGAUUCGCUAGUAAUCGCGCAUCAGCCACGGCGCGGUGAAUACGUUCCCGGGCCUUGUACACACCGCCCGUCAAGCCAUGGGAG